rnacentral:lncRNA from 1 species
GGUGGAUCUGAGGUCAACAGUUCGAGACCAGCCUGGCCAAUAUGGUGAAACCCUAUCUCUACUAAAAAUACAAAAAUUAGGUCAGGCGUGGUGGCUCAUGCCUGUAAUCCCAGCAUUUUGGGAGGCUGAGGCGGGGGAAUCACCUGAGGUCAGGAGUUUGAGACCAGCUUGGCCAACAUGGUGAAACUCCAUCUUUACUAAAAAUACAAAAAUUAGCGGGUUGUGGUAGUGGGCACCUGUAAUCCCAGCUACUUGGGAGGCUGAGGCAAGAGAAUCUCUUGAACCCGGGAGGUGGAGGUUGUAGUGAGCCGAGAUCGUGCUAUUGCACUCCGGCCUCCACAACGAGAGCGUAUCUUUGUCUCAAAAAAAAGUACAAAAAUUAGCCGGACAUGGUGGCACACGCCUGUAGUCGCAGCUACUUGGGCAGCUGAGGCAGGAGAAUUGCUUGAACCCAGGAGGCAGAGGUUGCAGUGAGCCAAGAUCAUGCCACUGACUCCAGCCUGGGUGACAGAGCUAAAAAAAAAAAAAAAGAUAAAACAUAGAUACAGAAAACCACAAAGGAAAAGCAUAGCAUAUUGAAUCAUCACAAGGCAGCCACCCCUUCAUAGCCACACCUGGCCCCUGGCCACCACUGACCUGUGCUCCAUCGCCAGAAUUCCAUUGUCUCAAGAAUGUUCGAUGAAUGGAAUCCUGUGUGGCCUGAGAUGAGUGUCUUUCAUGCCGCGUGACACCCUUGAGGCCCGUGCAAGCUGUUGGUAUGUAAACAGUCAGCUGCUUCUCAUUGCUGAGUGGCGAUUGGUCCUGUCAUGGUUUAUUCAGCCAUGUGGUGGAUGGCUACUUGUCUUCUAAGCCACUUGUUUUCUUAUUGCUGGACUUACUGUCUCACGCUCUCUUGGUGCAGCCCUCGGAAGGCUUGGUCACACUCUCCGAGAGCACAGCCAUCAUCUCCCACGGUACCACAGGCCUGGUCACAUGGGAUGCCACCUGCUACCUUGCAGAAUGGGCCAUCGAGAACCCGGCAGCCUUCACUAACAGGAAUGUCCUAGAGCUUGGCAGUGGCACCGGCCUCACAGGCCUGUCCAUCUGCAAGAUGUGCCACCCCUGGGCAUACAUCUUCAGCGACAGUCACAGCCGGGUCCUAGAGCAGCUCCGAGGGAAUGUCCUUCUCAAUGGCCUCUCAUUAGAGGCAGACAUCACUGCCAACUUAGCCCCAGGGUGACAGUGACCCAGCUGGACUGGGACGUAGCGACAGUCCAUCAGCUCUCUGCCUUCCAGCCAGAUGUUGUCAUUGCAGCAGACGUGCUGUAUUGCCCAGAAGCCAUCGUGUCGCUGGUCGGGGUCCUGCGGAGGCUGGCUGCCUGCCGGGAGCACCAGCGGGCUCCUGAGGUCUACAUGGCCUUUACCGUCCACAACCCAGAGACAUGCCAGCUGUUCACCACCGAGCUAGGCUGGGCUGGGAUCAGAUGGGAAGCGGAAGCUCAUCAUGACCAGAAACUGUUUCCCUAUGGAGAGCACUUGGAGAUGGCAGUGCUGAACCUCACACUGUAGGACUCACACACGACUCCAAUGGGAUUGUGAGAAUCAAGUCACUCUCGUGGGAAGAAUUUUUAUAUGGGAAAGCGGAUAAAACUUUCAUUGGACUGGAAUGUUUGGAGAAUGUUAAAUUCCAAAUCAGGAACCACAAACUGCCCUCUAAUAAGACAUCGGCUAUCUAAGCGUGUGGGUGCCCCCUUUCUGCCAGCAGUUCUGGUUCUUAAGAAAAUCACCAUAAAUCAGACAUGAAAAUUCUGGCUCCAAAAAUAGCAUUUUCUUUGUGCAAAUAAAAACGUGUGUAUCUAAUAUGACGUUCCCCCAACGUGGACACACUCGGUUCCUCACAAAGCCAAGCCCGCUGCAGCUGCCACAUCCCUGGACACACUCGGUUCCUCACAAAG